AAGAAAUACCGUUUGCUGCUCUUGGAUCAAAUUCUUUGCAGUGAUGAGCUGGAUUUUGGACAUCCACUGAAGCCAGGGGUAAUGCCUUACUCCCACAUGCAAGCACCUACAAAGGUGUCUGCAUUUGGCAUCUCUCAGUGGUGAGUCCUGAGGGUUUGGACAGCCAUGGUCAGCUGGACACGAGUGCAGGAGAUCUGGGGUCCAGAAAUCAAUGA
rnacentral:lncRNA from 1 species